rnacentral:misc_RNA from 1 species
AUUUAUAAAUAAUAAGUCACAUUUGGCAGUACAACGUGUUUAUUUUACUGCGUAAAAUUAGUAUUAUCAAUAGAUUUAUUAUAGUUUUUAAAUCAACACAUUAUCGAAUGUAUUUACAUUAUUAAAAAGAUGCAAGAACAAAAAGUAACUCAAGAGGAGGCAAAUAGUGAGAAGAAUGUAGUAGUUGACAGAUUAUCACUCAAUUUUGAUGGUCAAGAUGAGGUUGAUAGGACGAGACUCCCAAGUGAUAGAAUAAUGAGAAAAAUAUUUGAUGCUACUCAUAGUCUGAGUACAACUUUGGAUUUAUCGAAUUAUAAUUUAACAGAGGUACCCGAAGAAAUUCUUGACAUGUCUCAGUUACAAAACUUAUAUCUUAGUUAUAAUAAAAUAACAACUCUUCCAGGAAAUUUCUUUGAUAAACUAUCUAACUUACAGUGGUUAGAUUUAAGAUUUAACCAACUAAAAAGUCUACCGACAACGUAUAUAGGCCGUCAUAAAUGCUUAAGGAAUAUGUUGUUGGAAGGUAAUAAUUUGAGAACUUUACCAUUGGAAUUAGGUUUAAUAACAACAAUGGAUGGUUUAAAUUUAAGGGGUAAUCCUUUAGAAUUUCCUCCAUCCGAAGUAUUAUCAAAAGGAACCAAAGAAAUUCUUAAAUUCUUUAGAGAGAUACUUUUUGCAAAAAGUGGUAAGAAAGUUAAAUCGGAUGAUUCUGUGACAAAUAAUAGUCGAAAGACAUCAUCAUCAAGUGAAAACGAUUCGUCAACUGAACAACAACAACAACAACAACAACAACAGCAACAACAAUUAGAACAUGGCCUAGAAAAUAUGGAUAAAAUAUAUAAUCGUUCAAAAUCUAUAGAACGUGAAGAGUUUGUCGGACCAAUACUAAAACCAGUUGAUUUACAAAGGAAAAGUAGUUCAAAGAAAUCUCUUAAAAGCGGUGGAAACAGAAGUGGAAAGACUAGAUCAAAACAAUCAAAACGCAUAAUUGAUAUUACUGAAAGAGUUGAAGAUUCAGAAUAUAGAGAUUCAGAUAGAAGAUUGCAAAAACUUUUGGAACACGAAAGGAGAUUGGCUUUGAUGAAGGGGAUAAAUGAGGAGACUGAUAAAAUUCUCCAGAAAAGACGAGAUGCUGAAAGGCUACAAGAAUUCCGAGAUGAAAGCCGAAAGCGACAAAUUCAAAAGGAAAGGGAAAAAUUCUCUAAAGGAUUAUGUAAGAUCAUAUUUCAUCAACUUCAAUUCUUCUUCACUUUUUAAUUGUUUUUGCAUAUCUAUUUUCCUUACAUAGUCUAUAAGAAAGCUGCCGAAACUGCUCCGUUUGCAACAGAACAGUCUAAAUUAGUUACUGAUACAAAAAAGCAUGCGGAUAGGCUAAAAGCGGAGACGGAUAUAACUCUAAAGAUUGAAGAACAUCUUAAGAGGAUACACGAACGACGUUCUAAGCCAAAACAAUCUGCUCAAGAGGAAUUAAUUGCCGCCCAAAAGGAAUUAGAAAUAAUACAACAAUUACGUGGCGAUUUAAGGAACACCUCACAAUUCCGACCGUAUUUUCCACACUCUUAAAAAAAUUAUACAUCUUUGUAAGAUUAAAAAGCUAACAAGACUUAUAUAAUGCUUUCUCUUUUUUGUCUGUUUAUUUUCAAAGAAAGCUUCUUUCGUUUGGCUAAUCAUUUUUCCAGUAUUAUACAUACUUUUACUGUAUAUUUUCCAGUAUUUUUGUUUUUU